rnacentral:rRNA from 1 species
GAUGAACGCUGGCGGCGUGCCUAAUACAUGCAAGUCGAGCGAAUGGAUCAAGAGCUUGCUCUUAUGAAGUUAGCGGCGGACGGGUGAGUAACACGUGGGUAACCUGCCCAUAAGACUGGGAUAACUCCGGGAAACCGGGGCUAAUACCGGAUAACAUUUUGAACCGCAUGGUUCGAAAUUGAAAGGCGGCUUCGGCUGUCACUUAUGGAUGGACCCGCGUCGCAUUAGCUAGUUGGUGAGGUAACGGCUCACCAAGGCAACGAUGCGUAGUCGGCCGGAGAGGGUGAUCGGCCACACUGGGACUGAGACACGGCCCAGACUCCUACGGGAGGCAGCAGUAGGGAAUCGUCCGCAAUGGACGAAAGUCUGACGGAGCAACGCCGCGUGAGCGAUGAAGACUUUCGGGUCGUAAAACUCUGUUGUUAGGGAAGAACAAGUGCUAGUUGAAUAAGCUGGCACCUUGACGGUACCUAACCAGAAAGCCACGGCUAACUACGUGCCAGCCGCCGCAGUAA